UACGUAGGGGGGCAAGCGUUGUCCGGAUUUAUUGGGCGUAAAGAGCGUGUAGGCGGCCACACAGGUCAGCUGUGAAAACUCGAGGCUCAACCUCGAGACGUCGGUUGAAACCGUAUGGCUAGAGCCCGGAAGAGGAGAGUGGAAUUCCCGGUGUAGCGGUGAAAUGCGCAGAUAUCGGGAAGAACACCCGUGGCGAAGGCGGCUCUCUGGGACGGUACUGACGCUGAGACGCGAAAGCGUGGGGAGCGAACGAGG
rnacentral:rRNA from 1 species